GGAGGAUCUUAUUUAUUUUUAAAAUAUGAACACAGUACUGUAAUUUGAAAGGAUCCACUGAAUUAAACGGAGUCAUGAACCUCAUGUGCACUUACUUUGUAGUUUUUGUUUUCUAAGGAUGUAAAAUCAAGACAAAAUGCAGCAGGUUGUGCAUCAAAUACAACGAGGAAGAGUGCGACUAAGCGGUGGCAUUCAAACCCUCUGCCCAGGCUUGCACAGACUUCAUUAUGUUGCACUUCAUGAUCUGAGCAUCCCUGCUGUUUAAAGAGAACCACAGAUACCACAGGAUGGUGUCCUGGACAGUGAUUUGGCCUGGGUUUCCAUGGCAGCAGUACCUCUUAAAUGGUGGAGCAAGGCAGGAAUGAAGUGAAGUUGGGCCUGUCUUGUGCUUGGCUGUCCAAAGAACCUGUGAUGCAGGUGCAAUCCAGACCAGCUAUAUGAGCAGCCUCUUCUGAGUGUGUGAAGAGGACCUGUGAUUCUGAUUUGAGUCGAGUGCCAUCUUGACUGCUACUGAAGCAUGAUCCUUACGGUGUUACUUUCCAAUCUACAAGAAGCAUUCGUGUGAGGUGAGACCCAGAGGAGUUUGCUUUCUGAGGCCUGCUGGAGAAGCUGUUCUACAGUCAAACUUGGAGCCAGAAGGAUAAGGAUGAAAGCUUGAGCUGGAAGAAGAUCCCCACUAUGCUUCAUGCAGACUAGGAAUAAAAUACUGCCCCCCCCCCCCCCGCCAUAGGGUUGACUUGUUAAUAAAGUAC